ACACUGACGACAUGGUUCUACUGCCUGUUUAUCAAAAACAUCGCUGGAAAAUAUUUCCGGUUAGAUCUGCCCAGUGAAAUUUUAACGGCCGCAGUAUCCUAACUGUGCUAAGGUAGCAUAAUCAUUAGCUUUUUAAUUGGAAGCUCGUAUAAACGAUUCGACGAGAGUAUUUUUCUUUUUUUUAAAACCCUAUUAAUUUACUUAGAAAGUUAAAAAGCUUUCUUACUCCAGAAGGACGACAAGACCCUAUAAAACUUUCAUUACUUUUAGAUCAGCCUCUUAGAUUAAUUUACUCUCUAAUACUAAUUUUUGCUGGGGCGGCUAAGUUUAAAUUCUAAACAAAUCUUAUACAAMYACUUUGUCUGGACCUUAAUAAACCCAUCUACGUAACCAACUAUUAAGUUACUUUAGGGAUAACAGCGCAAUAUCUUUUUAGAGUUCUUAUCGACAAAGAUGAUUACGACCUCGAUGUUGAAUUGAAACCCCUCCCUAGAGCAGAAACUUUGGAAGGAAGUCUGUUCGACUUAAAAUUUUUCACAUGAUUUGAGUUCAGACCGGUGCAAGCCAGGUUGGUUUCUAUCUAGACCAAGUCUCUGCUACCGUA
rnacentral:rRNA from 1 species